rnacentral:lncRNA from 1 species
GUUAACACUCUCUAGGCUAUCCUAGUUGAGUUAGAAAUUGAGGGGCAUACAACCCAAAUGGGGAAGGAGAUUGCAACAUCCAAAUAAAGGAGGCUAUGGAAAUUUUUUUGAUAUUUGGAUCAUGAUGGAUUCAUGCUUUCUUGUAUAAUCAAGGACAUUUCAAGAAAAUAGGCUUUAAGAGGGAGAGACUCCCAUGGCUCAAAAACUCUCAUGUUAAGGGGCUCUCAAACUCUCAUCCAUCAUUCUAUCUUCUUUCCUCCUUACAGGACCAUAGGUCCUUGAGCACUCGAGCCGAGGUGAGACUCAAGGUCGAGUCGAGGUGAGACUCAAGGUCGAGCUGAGGUGAAACUCAAGACCAAGCCAAGGCAAGGGUCAUAUCGAGCUGAGGUGAAUGUCAAGGCUGAGCCAAGGUGAAGGGUCAUAUUGAGCCGAGGUGAGGCUCAAGGCCGAGUUGAGGUGAAUCUAA